UUCUGAAAUCACCUUUUUAGUCAGUCUGAGGGAUCCUGACUGGUCUGUGGUAGCACACACAGCUGGUGUGGACCAUCAGCACAUGGGCUGCAAGGAAAAUCGCCCCGAUGUCCAGACAGUGGGGCCAGGUGGUUUCUGGGUUUUGGCCUAGCCCCUGCUCUUGGUCUGACUGAGCAAUACUUCCCCAGAUGUCCCUUGCCCUUCAGCCCACUGGCCCUGACCUUUGUUAGAAGUGGAUGCCCAGCAGCUUUCUGGUUGUCUGUGAAUGCCCGGUGAAGAUUCUGAACUGAUUCCUCACCAGACAGUUGCUCUGUUUGCACCACAAGGGGCUUUCCCACGUGUGAGCAGGCCUCCCACCAGCUUCAUUCCUCCAAACUCCCAAACCAGCAGCACUGUCUCCUAAGAUACAACAGGACAGGCUUUGAGGACAGAAACCCAGGGUCACGUUCCUGCUCCAUCACUUUCCAUCAGCAUGGUCUCGGGCAAGGGAAUCGUGAACUUAGCUGAAGAGUUUCGUGAGCCGGAAGUGCCUCUGAAAGAAGUGAGCAGAGAGAAGGGUCUCAAGAUGGCCAGGUUUUGGACUUACACCAUAGGCUCUACUGGUCCUUAGGCCUUUGGACUGAGGCUGGAACCACAUCCUCAGCUCUCCUGGAUCUCCAGCUUGGCAACUGCAGACCUUGGGACAUUUCAGAUUCCAUAAUCAUGACGAAGGCGAUGGCAGCAGUUUUCCAGGCUAGCUGUCUUCACAACCCGAUGGCUCUCUUCUUUUCUGCUGCCACAGAGACUGACUGUCUGCCUCCUGCAAAUUUGAAAUUUGGCAAACCUGCCUCCUCUGCUUCUCAGAACCAAACUGGGGCCAGGAGAACUUCUGACCCAAGUGUUGAUCACCUCUCUUCCUGCACCUCACUGUGCACCCUCUGCUCAGGAAAUGCCUUUGGCGUGUUGCUGACGUCUGUCCCUGCUCCAUCUCUUACCACCCUGCACUUCACCCUUUCCCACACAGGUUUCACCUGAUCUCAGCUGCUUUGGGCAGACCAUCCAGGUAUUUUGGAGUCUGAAAAGGAUCUCUGUCUCUAAGUCUGGUGCAAAUGGAGUUUGGGGGUUUUAAAAUUCAUUCUUCUUGCUGCUGUUUCACAAUUUCUCAGAAAAGGUGAAAAUGCAGACUUUGGCAGUUAUGUUCAAUAUGAAAAGUCUUAAUAAAGUAAUUUUUGACCUAAAGCCCACCAGUAUUUCUGGAACAAUUCAGUCAAUCUUUGAACUUGGUCACAUAAAGUCUUAUUAGAAACACAACGGGGAUUUUGGAGACAGGACUAGUGAACUUUGUGUAGUUAAAUAGAAACUUGAAUUGCCAGUGUAGAGUACU
rnacentral:lncRNA from 10 species